GAACCGCUGGUUCAAACCUGAGAUCAGCACACCCUCAUCGAUUCGUUCAAUUCAGAUUGAGGAGAAGGCUAUGAAGGACUUGAAGAGGUUCUACAGUAGUGUCAAGGUUGUGAAGAACCCAACUUAACAAAGAGCUACCGCUUGAUACUCAGAAAGAGGCUCCUCAUUGUUAAUGCUCCUUUUUCCAGUUCAUAACAGUGAAUUUCAAUGUACAGAUGAUCUUGUAAAUUUGGUUCUUUUAAUGUUAGUAGUUGUAAUUUCUCAUCGGCCAUUAAUUUGUUUUAGAUAUAAAGAUGUCCAUUCAGUUAGUAUAACUUAAAGAUAAUAAAGUUUAAAAUUCCUGAUCGAAGUGCAUACAAAUGCAACGG
rnacentral:misc_RNA from 1 species